rnacentral:rRNA from 1 species
CUGCUGCCUCCCGUAGGAGUCUGGUCCGUGUCUCAGUACCAGUGUGGGGGACCUUCCUCUCAGAACCCCUACGCAUCGUCGCCUUGGUGGGCCGUUACCCCGCCAACAAGCUAAUGCGCCGCAUGCCCAUCCUCCGCCGGAAUCACUUCCUUUUAACACCAGUGGGAUGCCCCACUGGUGUACCACGCGGUAUUAGUCCGGAUUUCUCCGGGUUAUCCCCCUGCGGAGGGCAGGUUGCAUACGUGUUACUCACCCGUGCGCCGGUCGCCGG